GACGAACGCUGGCGGCGUGCUUAACACAUGCAAGUCGAACGAAAAGGCCCUGCUUUUGUGGGGUGCUCGAGUGGCGAACGGGUGAGUAACACGUGAGUAACCUGCCCUUGACUUUGGGAUAACUUCAGGAAACUGGGGCUAAUACCGGAUAGGAGCUCCUGCUGCAUGGUGGGGGUUGGAAAGUUUCGGCGGUUGGGGAUGGACUGGCGGCUUAUCAGCUUGUUGGUGGGGUAGUGGCUUACCAAGGCUUUGACGGGUAGCCGGCCUGAGAGGGUGACCGGCCACAUGGGGACUGAGGUACGGCGCAGACGCCUACGGGAGGCAGCGGGGGGGAAUAUUGCAGAAUGGGCGGAAGCGUGAUGCAGCAGCGCCGCGUGCGGGAUGACGGCCUUCGGGUUAUAAACCGAUUUGGCCUGUAACGAAGCGUGAGUGACGGUAAUGGGUAAAGAAGCACCGGCUAACUACGUG
rnacentral:rRNA from 1 species